rnacentral:rRNA from 1 species
AUGGACGAGGUCCAGAGGCGCCUCAUGUUCGACGACGAAUGCAUUUUGGUAGAUGAACAGGACAACGUUGUCGGCCAUGAAUCAAAAUAUACCUGCCAUCUGAUGGAGAAGAUUGAAUCUGAGAACCUGCUCCACAGGGCAUUCAGCGUAUUCCUUUUCAACUCAAAACAUGAGCUGCUACUUCAGCAAAGAUCUGCGACGAAGGUUACGUUUCCUUUAGUAUGGACCAACACCUGCUGCAGCCAUCCUCUGUACCGUGAAUCUGAGCUUAUUCAGGAAAACUUUCUUGGUGUCAGAAAUGCUGCUCAGAGGAAGCUCCUCGAUGAGCUGGGCAUCCCAGCUGAAGAUGUGCCCGUUGACCAGUUCACCCCUCUCGGUCGGAUGCUUUACAAGGCACCAUCUGAUGGGAAAUGGGGCGAACAUGAGCUGGACUACCUGCUGUUCAUCGUGCGCGAGGUGAAGCUGGUCCCGAACCCGGACGAAGUGGCCGACGUGAAGUACGUGAGCCGGGAGCAGCUGCGGGAGCUCAUCCAGCAGGCGGACGCCGGCGAGGGCGGCGUGAAGCUGUCCCCUUGGUUCAGGCUGGUGGUGGACAACUUUCUCAUGGGCUGGUGGGAGCACUUGGAGAAAGGCACGCUCGCGGAGGCCGUGGACAUGGAAACCAUCCACAAGCUCAAGUGA